rnacentral:rRNA from 1 species
CCUACGGGCGGCAGCAGUGAGGAAUAUUGGUCAAUGGCCGCAGGGCUGAACCAGCCAAGUCGCGUGAGGGAUGACGGUCCUAUGGAUUGUAAACCUCUUUUGUCAGGGAGCAAAGGGCGCCACGUGUGGCGCUUUGCGAGUACCUGAAGAAAAAGCAUCGGCUAACUCCGUGCCAGCAGCCGCGGUAAUACGGAGGAUGCGAGCGUUAUCCGGAUUUAUUGGGGUUAAAGGGUGCGCAGGCGGAAUGUCAAGUCAGCGGUAAAAUUUCGGGGCUCAACCCCGUCGUGCCGUUGAAACUGGCGUUCUUGAGUGAGCGAGAAGUAUGCGGAAUGCGUGGUGUAGCGGUGAAAUGCAUAGAUAUCACGCAGAACUCCGAUUGCGAAGGCAGCAUACCGGCGCUCAACUGACGCUCAUGCACGAAAGCGUGGGUAUCGAACAGGAUUAGAUACCCCAGUAGUC